UUCUUCUAUCUUUCACAGCUACACCACCCACACUCUCUUCUUCCUCAAAAUUUGGUCCCAUUUUCUGUCCACAAUUUUUGUUUUUCACUCUCUCCACACCCACUUGCCCGGAAUCAAGAUUGUAUUCUUCCUGUUUGGACUUUGGACCUUCCAAGUAACAAUUCGAAUAUUCUACAAACUGCUCAUUCAUUCGUCAAAACUCAGAACUGCUCAUUCAUCAGGGAGGUUUUACCAGUAAACCAAGAGGUCUCCUUGGAGAGGUAAGAAAUUUAUUAGGUAUCAAAUGAUUCAAAGAUGAUGAAAACAAGCUUGGGAAGUUUAUUAUUGUUGAAGAUGGGUAUGAUUGCAGUUGGUUUGGCUCUACAGAUGUAUGGGAUCGAUUGUUCAAGAAGUCUCCUAAGCCUCCAGAGAAAUUAUCAUUCAGUUAUCUGAGUCAGAAAUUAUUAAAGAGAUUCCGAGGUUUCUUAUUGGUAUUUUGGAGUUUGAAUCCCCCCAUUACUAUUUGUGUUCAUCUGGCGAAGAAAAUGAAACAGUGAGAGCUGAUAAAACAACUCCUUGAGCUAAGAAAAUCUGGAGUUACAAGCAACAUAAGUCUCAACGUGUUCUUCUUUGGCUAAGAGGGUAUUUGCUUGAGGAAAUUAUGGCUUACGACUUGACUUGGUGCUGUUUUGUGCUCAGAACUCGAGGCUUUGUAAGUCUCUAGAGAGGAAUAGCAAAAUAAAUAGACAAAGAGGAACUUAAGCUUACAACAACUACAAAGAAGAAAGGUGCAAUCUUGGGUUUUCAAAUUCAGAGUCCACCAAAGAAUUAAUAAAUCUCAGUUGUUGUUUCACAUUCUUUUUCAUUUACAGGACUAG